rnacentral:rRNA from 1 species
UACGUAGGGGGCUAGCGUUGUCCGGAAUCAUUGGGCGUAAAGAGCGUGUAGGCUGCUCGGUAAGUCCGCUGUAAAAAGUCAAAGGCUCAACCUUUGAAUGUCAGUGGAUACUGCCGGGCUAGAGUCCGGAAGAGGCGAGUGGAACUCCUGGUGUAGCGGUGGAAUGCGCAGAUAUCAGGAAGAACACCAACGGCGAAGGCGGGUUGCUGGGCUGAUACUGACGCUGAGGCGCGAAAGCCAGGGGAGCGAACGGG